rnacentral:lncRNA from 1 species
CAAAAUUUGCUGUGCUCGCUCUAUUCCCUCCCAAGUGCGAUUCCCUUUUCCCUAUCCCUCGUCACUGGUGACUCCCUUUUUCUUCUUCAUCGGCGAUGAUUCCCUCUCUCACUUCCUUUCCCUCUUCCUCUCCAUUGCCCACAUAUACACACACAACGAGGAGAAAAUGGAGGAUUUGGGCGUGAGGAGGUGAAUGGAGGAGGCUUGAUUUGGGCGUGAGGAGGCGAACGAAGGAGGCUUGAUUUGGUUGUUUGGUAAGUUACUCUCACAACCACUGCUAUACUCACACACAUACACCCACCCACUACUAUACUCACACACAUACACAUUAUCACACACAAUAUACACACACCCAUUGUCAAUUAAUUGUAUGUCUGUGUUCGCAUGUACAUAUGGUGAUUCUUUUAGGUCCAAAUUCUUGAACAUAACUCAGUUUGUCCUGUAUUGCUUUGAACAUAACUCAGUUUCUGGUUUAGUUAACUUAUUAGAAUUGGACCUGGAAUGAUGUCCAGGGAUUCACGACUGGCUUGUUCAGCUCAAAGGUUUGCUAUUAGCUUGUACUCUUUCUGAGUGGUGAGCUUCUUCUUCAAUGCGUAUGUAAAAGUCAUUAAUGUAUUAGUAAAAUUUUUAAGCUUUCCCAAAUUUAUGGGGUCUUAAUUUAACUAUUGGUCUUGGUUUCUUAGAUAUUUUGAUUGGUAAUUUUGGCCCAAAGUAUGCGUACUGGAACUAGCAACCUUAGAUUUACCAUAUUAGCGUACUGGAGCAACUCCAAAUUUUUGUACAUGUUAAUCAUUUAAGUUUCAUGCCUAAGGAGUUCUGGUAAGAGAGGUGUUGCUGCACCAAUUAUUUUUAUAUCAAGGAUAUUUCCUUUGUGAGGUACAAAGCUUUUGAUAAUUAAAUCAAUUGAUGGAAGUUAUUACUUCUGAUCUUUUUUGCAUUUGCAG